rnacentral:piRNA from 1 species
AUCAGAACUCUCGCUGGACAAAGUCGC